rnacentral:lncRNA from 1 species
GUCAAGUCCUUUUGAUAAAUGGUGGGGCUGGGAGCUCUGGGAGUCGGGAGCCAGUCUGUGCCCGCGUGGGGGGCGGGGGCCGAGCCUGGAGACCCGGUUUCGACCGGCGCGCACCUGGGGCUGAGCCGGGUGCGCGCGGGGGUCGGGUCUGGAACUGCCCUUGGUAUGCUCGCCCUCUCCUCUUGGCCCAUCUCACUCCCCUCCCCCACCUGACUCCCCUCCCCGGCUUCUUUCUCUGUCUCCCACUCCGCACGGGUACCGAGAACUUUCCGGGAAUCGACGGGAUUUCUCUGGCUGUCGUUUGCGCUGCAUUUAUCCGAAUACAUCCAGCUCGCAGGCAUCCUGCAAGAAACGGCUCCCGGCUCGCGUGUACGCCGACACCUCGGCCCAACGCAGGACUCGAGGUGGUUUCUAGUGCCCGGGUGGCUGCAAGUCUGCCCUCCGAGGGAGGCUGGACAAGCGGCGCCCCCAGGUCGAGCGGCCUCUCGCUGCCUGGCAGUGCCUGGCAGCCCCCACCUCUGCCAGUGCUUCGGAAACCCGCCUGGCCAGGUUCGCCCGCGGUGAAAAAUGAAAGCAAAUUCCCCAACAGAGGUAGCCGGAACUUUCCUCGACGAAGGCUCCCUCCUGCGCCUGUGUCUGGAGAACCCCCAGAGCGCUGCAAGUUAGCAAGAGAGAUUCGAUGGCGGCUCUGGAAGGCGCACGAAGGGUGGGGCGGGGGAGCAAAGAGGCCACUGGGUGACCCAGCCUGGUCCGGGGUGAAACGCUAGAGAAGGCGCCUCGCCUUCCUUAUUUCAAUGCAACUCCUCGGCCCCAGACGGUAAAAAUAGUUUCCAAGCUGCCGCGGACGCCCAGGAUGUGUUUGCAGAGAUCAAACUGGGGAGGAGGCAGCUUUGUAAAAGUUGCAGAAAGAUUAGCCGAGAAGCGUCCGCCCGGCGGGGCUCAAGAAAGCUUGGGGACAGCUCCAUGUUCCUUGGGGCG